GAUGCACUAUUGUAAAGUGGCUGUUCCACUGGAUGUCUUAAGGUGAACGCACCAAUUUGUAAGUCGCUCUGGAUAAGAGCGUCUGCUAAAUGACUUAAAUGUAAAUGUGUAUAUAUAGAUCAAUAACUCAGUCAAAGUGGAUGGAUGGGGGACUUCCAGCUAGAUGGGGAGGCACUCACUAGCCUUUCCAUGAUGAUCCAGAACCAUUAGCCAGUGAAAUUGGGACUCAACUCAGACCUGGGCCGCACAGUUCAUUUGCUCUCACAACCUGGUAUAAAAAGUUGAAAAUACUUCUUACUGUUCAUAAAAAUAUAUAUUUUUUUAUCUGAUCUCUCCCCUUCUCCCUGCAAGAUGAUGUCAAGAUGUUUGUGGUCCUCCCUGAUGAGGUCACUGCCAACAUGACCCUGGUGGAUGAGAGCCUGAUGGCCGAGUUUGUCCAGGACCGUUCAGUUUCUGCAUGUGGCCGACACACUGCCUUCCAAGAGUUCAGCUACUCCACUGACCUGCUGCCUCCGCUUAGUGACAAGGACUGGUCUCUGCAUGGGGCCUCCAAAUCACGAAGUCCGCACCGGAUGAGAGGCUCAUCAACUAAAGAUGUUGCAGAACGGCUGUAUUUGAAGCACUUCUGCCCAGUUUCCCUGAUGUUGUACCGGCAAUCAAGCUGUUUGUUUUUUUACCAUCCAUGUAACUGUUGCCUCUGCGGUAAGAUCGUUUUUAUAAACUAAAACUCAUAAAGAACUACGUGAAAAGCGUUAGGCUCUCGGUCUGAUAUGCGCUUCUUCAGUAAGCUCCACUAAUUGCACUGGUGCCGUCGUAGCAUUGGGUGUGUCGUAGUGUAACAGUUGUUAAAGUACUAUGUGCAUUUCACCAGGUUCCUGUAUUCAUAUGUCGUGUUGAUUUGUUAUUAUGCAUGCCUGCAUCCUGGGAGAAGGGGAGUGUGUACUUACGUUUUGCCCUGCGUGCUCGUGCUCAAAUCAUUUUGAUCCACUGAGAGAGGUAGGCAAGCUUUUUCUGUCUUCAGGAAAGUUGGAUUAUUUUAAGUACAAAGUCACACACAGUGUUUUGUUCAUGAAUAAUGAUGUAUAUUUAGAGGUUACUCAUAAGUGGAUGGUAUUGUUAAGAUGCACUUGUCAUUGUACUUUUUAGGAUGAUAUCAACAUUCUGAAUUCAACAUGUGGUUAAUAGCUAGCUCGUAUGUGUGAACGAUGGCUAGCUCCUCGAAUGAUCCCAGUCCCUCCUAUUGUGCAUCUGUUGUAGAAAGAGGCGACGAUUCUCAGAACAUAUGUGCUCUACAAAUGUUUUAUUUCCUUUUGGAUACAGAUGCAGGAUGCAGAGAGUGAGUUCUGCUUGAUUAAAACUACCUGAUAUCCAAAGUCCACGUUUUAUAGUCUCAAUCAACCACACACAACGCAGAGUUACAGCGGUGCAGUAUAGCACCGGUUACAGUAGCAUUGACCACGGCAUUUGUUCACGAUAUCCCCAUGUACUUUCAGUCAGUUGAAUUUGUAGAAGCUGAUCAUGUAAUAGCUGCUCAUAAUGUAAUAACUUUUGCAUUUGAUCAUGUAAUAACUGCCAAUAAUGUAAUAACGUUGGCAUUCAUAAUGUAAUAACUUGCCAAUCAUGUAAUAAAUAUGCUGAACGCAUAACAUAACGUU